rnacentral:ncRNA from 1 species
UUUACGGAGAGUUUGAUCCUGGCUCAGGAUGAACGCUGGCGGCGUGCUUAACACAUGCAAGUCGAACGAUGAGUCUUGUGCUUGCACAAGAUGAUUAGUGGCGAACGGGUGAGUAACACGUGAGUAACCUGCCCCUGACUUCGGGAUAAGCCUGGGAAACUGGGUCUAAUACCGGAUAUGCACCGUGGACCGCAUGGUCCUUGGUGGAAAGACUUGUUGGUCAGGGAUGGACUCGCGGCCUAUCAGCUUGUUGGUGAGGUAAUGGCUCACCAAGGCGACGACGGGUAGCCGGCCUGAG